rnacentral:rRNA from 1 species
UACGUAGGGUGCGAGCGUUAAUCGGAAUUACUGGGCGUAAAGCGUGCGCAGGCGGUUCGUUAAGUUCGUUGUGAAAGCCCCGGGCUCAACCUGGGAAUGGCAAUGGAAACUGGCGGGCUGGAGUGUGGCAGAGGGGGGUGGAAUUCCACGUGUAGCAGUGAAAUGCGUAGAGAUGUGGAGGAACACCGAUGGCGAAGGCAGCCCCCUGGGCCAACACUGACGCUCAGGCACGAAAGCGUGGGGAG